GUACUCUCUUGGGCAGCUCGCAUAUUAACACUGGAAAGAUAGAGAAUAUCUAUCUUAUCUACAGAUUAGCAUGGCCCCUGCGCAAGGAUGACACCCAAAUUCAUGCAGAUGCAGAAAAGAAA
ensembl:snRNA U6 U6 spliceosomal RNA